GGGGUGUAGCUCAUGGUAGAGCACUUGCCUAGCAUGCAAGAGGCUCUGGGUUUGAUCACCACCACCACCA
rnacentral:tRNA from 1 species